CGAGUACUUUACUGACUAAGCUCUCUCCCCAACCCCAUGGGGCAUCUUAUGUAAGUGGAGUAAACCCCAGGGAGGAGGCUCUGAACUCAUGAUCUAAUGGCACACAAGGGUACUAUCUGCUGAGACCAUCACUCUGGGGCAGAGUCUCAAGAUACAGCUUUCAGGAACAAAACAUUCAGACCUGGGCAUCCCUAACUCACCAGAGAGAGACCUGAACCCAAAUCAUCUACUUGGAAUACAGAGCUCUUUCUGAUGCGGCAUAAGAUUCAUAGCAAACUCCAUAAGUGUGUGUCCAGAUCUACCAUCACAUAGUGAGGAAAUCAGUGGCUUGAAAUAGAAAUUUAUUAUCUAGCACCAAAGAGCUGAGUGAAAAAAAGGAAAAGAAACAUGACUGCUGCUAGGUCACAGCAAUCCUGCUGCUUCAUUACCAAAUUCAGUGGGCAACUCUCGGUAAUAUCAUGCCGGUCCUAGCAUUGGCACAGUGUAUCACUCACCUUCUGUGAUGCUGUGUUCAGCUGUUCCUGGUGAUCCACUCUUGACUUUACAUCAUGUCCCAGUGGCUACUUCUGAAUCCUGCUUGCUGGGACUCCUGUCUGAGAUUAUUUCUUCUGCUGCAAAAAGAAUACUCAAGGUGUAGCAGUGGAAAUAGAAAACUUCAGUAGUAAACUUGGAUUGGGAAGUCCUAACCUGUAUCUAUAUGGGCACACGAACACAGAUGAAUAAGAAGAUCAAGAGAUCACUCCUGAACCCCAGGUGCACAGACAAUUGUUCGCUACCCACGUGGUUACUGGGAAUCGAAGUGUACAGUGCUGAGCCAUCUAUCCAGCCCCCUGACUCAGGAUCUCAGGCAGUGGUGAAAUCUAAGGUCCAAAAAAGAUACAAUUUUCUCAAGGCAUUGUGACAAUUCCAGUAGCAGAGUGGCCAGACAACAUUUUUGACUUCUUGUCUUCUACCUAAGUUUUCUUAUGGAGACCCCGCAGCAGCAUGACAGAGGACUGUGAUGCUCCCAGGUGAUCUGUCUGGAACAGACAUCACUGUGUCUGAGACAUAGAGAAAAGAGGAUGAGUUACAGAUCCCUGCAGAGUACACACACAGGAACUUUUGGCUGUGCUCAUAUGGACCAUAGGUAUCAGAUAUGGGCCAGGAAUGGAGUCCUGUGAGAAGACUUCUGAGUGCUUGUGAGAAUAUUCCUAAAAAUCCAGACAAAAAGCCUUGGGAUCAAAGUUUCUUCAAGAUACCAAAUUGUCCAUAGACAGUGUUUUCAUGAUCCUCUCUGGUGUUUUGGAUAGCAAUGAGUUUACUUCAGAUUGCUCAUUUUUGCUUGCUGGUGUAAUUUAAUUAAGUUUUUAAAUGACCCUUUAUAUGCCUUUAUGGAAAAACAUAAUUUGGCACCUUGUAGCUAGUGCUUGUGUUCUUGUGAUUGUACACAACUUGAACUCAGGAGUAUUAUAUGUUUAAUUUCAGAGUAAUGUGUCUAUAUAUGUGUGUGUAAAUAUAUAUGUAUAUAUAUACACACACACGUAUAUAUAAUAUGAGGCUUUGAAUGAAGAUGGCUUUAGCAUAAGACUUUCAUAUACCUUAUCUAGGGCUCCAUUCUCCUAGGUCCACUGCCUAUAGAGCAGUGGCAGACAGGUGUGAAUAAACUGGGGAAACAAAGCCCAGAGGCAGGAGGAACGCCUUGAAAACACACACACACACACACACACACACACACACACACACACACACACACACAUUCUCAUUACUCAUAGUCCUACGACUGCAUUAUUUUUUUUUUUAUUAACUUGAGUAUUUCUUAUAUACAUUUCAAGUGUUAUUCCCUUUCCCGGUUUCCGGACAAACAUCACCCUCCCCCCUCCCCUUCCUUAUGGGUGUUCCCCUCCCAACCCUCCCCCCAUUGCCGCCCUCCCCCCAUAGACUAGUUCACUGGGGGUUCAGUCUUAGCAGGACCCAGGGCUUCCCCUUCCACUGGUGCUCUUACUAGGAUAUUCAUUGCUACCUAUGGGGUCAGAGUCCAGGGUCAGUCCAUGUAUAGUCUUUAGGUAGUGGCUUAGUCCCUGGAAGCUCUGGUUGCUUGACAUUGUUGUACUUUUGGGGUCUCGAGCACCUUCAAGCUCUUCCAGUUCUUUCUCUGAUUCCUUCAACGGGGGACCUAUUCUCAGUUCAGUGGUUUGCUGCUGGCAUUCGCAUCUGUAUUUGCUGUAUUCUGGCUCUACGACUGCAUUAUUAAUACAUUUAUUUAGCUACUACAGUUAGAGAACAAAAAAUUUUGCAUGGGCAGAUUGCAAAUGUUAACAUUUUUAUCUUUAGAUCACAAUAUUACAUUUCUCCCUGUCCUUAAUCUAUCAUCUGCCUAUUGAUAUUAGAGUGACUUUCAAAGAAUUCCAGCCCUUUUUACAGGUGAUGAUUAUUUUCAUGGCUAAUUUUAAUGGAAAGCAGUUCUAUAUGUUUUGCAAUAUAAUUACUAUAAUUACAAUUAUUCGACAUGCAGUCAUCUUUAGCUUUGGUUAGAUUGGAGCUUGCUCGAUAGACCAGUCUUACCUCAAUUCACAGAGCUCCAUGUUACUCUGCAUCAUGGUUCAGUUCAGCAUUAAUUGAUGAAAGUCACUGCUCUAGAGCACACCCAUAUAAAUCACACACAGAGUCUCCAUCAGUUUCAUGUAUGUUUGGCCCUUUCAUAUGGUAGCCGUUUCACAUCCUCUUAUUGAGGAACUGGUGUCCCUUCCCAGGUUUAGUGCUAUAGGAAAAGCAGAGGAGUCUCAAUGCCCACAGAGCAGGUGAGGUGAUGGAUAGAGGAGACUUGAGCAGAACUCCACUCUCACUUGGCUCCUGCCAGGACAGGGAGGCAUCACCUUCAGUGAGGAAGGUCAGCAAACUGGCAAAGACACUUAUUUACCACAAAGGGUCCGAGCCAAGGGUGGGUAUUCCAGGAGUCAGCAUCCAUUUGUCUUUAUCUUGUUUCUCUUAGUUCAUGCACUUGUGAGUAUCUCAACCUGGCCUUACUUGUGAGCGUACAGGAGCCUCUUCAUUCGAGGAGACCUGAAAACAUGGGUUUUCAGUAAGAAACAAAGUGUUGUGUUGUCCACCGCUUGUACUUGGCCAACCAUUGCCAUUGGCCUGAGCCAGGGAGCAACACCUGACUGCCUCUCUUCCACUCAGGGUAUCCUGUACAGAGUCAGCCAUAUCCCUGGCCUUGAUUUUGAGGCUGGGCUCAGGCUUUGACAAUACUGUGUGUUGUUGUUGAUGAUUUUCAGUAUCUCUAGCAUGGACUUUUGGAAAGUUCAUAUCUGUGUGAUGAAAACACCUGGUCAUUCACAGUACACUGGACACAACAAUAUAGCAGUAGCAGCCACAGCACCAGGAGCAGCAGCAGGAGCAAGGACACUUAAUUGCAAGGUGAAUGAAGGGUUGUGAUUCCUGUGGAAAAUAUACAAAAUAAUUGUACUAGAUGUGUGUUCUAGGAGGGAGAAAAUUCUUCGGAGCUCGAUCUACUUGAAUGUACCUGGGUCUUUCAAUGACAAAAUGUGACAAAUCACCAUGACCUACCCGGAGCAAAGCCCCACAGUCAAAAGAGGCGACCAUAUAUGUUUCCCACCAAUAUUUCUACCCACUCUCUCCUCUCCUGUGACUAUUUGCAUCCUCAGGAAGGUGCUCUCCAGACUGUGGUAUCAGCUCCAGGGACCAUAGCGCCUCCUACAAAAUUUGACACAGACACAUGAAAGGGUUUCUUAAUAGAAAUAUGCCUGACUUCUGCUCUGCCUGUGCUGGAUCUGAGUUGGAUUUGGUCCUCUGUCUGAUUCCUCCUAAGUGAUCCACUGUUUCCUUCACCACCAUUUUCCUCCAUCCUUCAAAACUCUAAGGCUACCAUCCUCUACUUACUACAUCUAGAACAAAUAUUUCAGGACUCCUAGUAGGAGUAAGGAUGUGAUUGAUCAUUUUGGGUUUUUGGUUUUGUUUUGUUUUUGGGAUUUUUUGUGGGGGAUUUUUUAUUUUCAUGUCAAAUGUAAUCUCAUUUCCUGGUGUCAUGUCCAUAACCCCCCAUUCAAUCUCCCAUCCCCCUGCUUCUAUAAGGAUAUCCCCCCACCCACCACCCCUUCCCUUCUCCCUGCCCUGACAUUGCCCUGGAGUCUAUCAGUGAAUCAUCCUGAUAUAUUAUCCACACCACCUGUAUAUGUGUCUUAGUAAAUAUUUAUGUGAAGAAUACAGUAUUCAAAGCAUACAUGAUUGAGUAGAAAAGGGUGUAAUUACCAUCCUACCUACAUGUGUUAGCUGGUUUCUCCACGACUUCCCUUAUUAGCUGCCAGGAUUUUACUUCUAAUUAAAAGUUGCUGGGGGUUUGUUUUGUUUUGUUUUGCUUUGCUUUGUUUUAUGCAUGGAAAGGCAAUAACACAAGCUGUGUAGUUAUUUUAAAUUUAGAUUGAUGGGACACUUUCUUCUUGCUUCCUUAUGGGAUACCAAAAUAGAUCUUGGCACACUGCUAACUGAGAUGGUCCGGAGGGUCUGUUUUCAGGAGGAUGGCAGCUGUCCUCUAAGUGAUGUAAGCUGGGAUCACAUCACGGGCUUUCUUGCUGGAAAAGAAACACAAGGAGCAUGGGCUUGGGUCUAUAUUCUGAGUGUUGUCCAUGCAAACCUGUAAUAGUCAUGAUUUGUGAAGACAUGCUUAAUGAUUAUAAUCCCUGGAGCAGAUACUGAUCUCAGUCCCUCUCCAAGUUCUCUUCCUGAACUGAAGCAUAUGGACCUCCUAGUGUACAAUGUUUAUGGGAAAUUUCCUCUUCAGAAAGCAGUGUUGGAGGUACACUACAUUUUCUUCAGUCUUUUCUCUCCAGACAGAUCAAGUAGAUGGUCAAGGCGAAAGUUUGAAGGGAGGGGCAAUCUUCCUCCUUUUCAGGCAGAGGAAGGUUGGGAGGUUGUUGGAUAACAUGCAACCAUGCCCUCUAUUUUAGUUUCCUUUGCCAUGUGGACUUCUUAUUUAUAAUUAAAUAACAAGUCAUUGCAUAGUUGUAUUUUUGUUGGUUUAAAGCAUCCUUUAAUUACUUCUUCAUAUAAACCAUCAAAAACAUUUUGAAGGCAACAUUGAGAUCUGCUUCCAUUAAAAUUUUGACUGAGGAGCUCUUUGAUGAAUGUACAUCAUGCAUGGGUCUAAAUCACCCAUGAGUGGGGAUACUUUGUGGCAUUCACUACUAUUAGUAUUCGCUGAACUAUAUGUAUAAGCUUUGGGGGAAAUGAUCCAGGACACAGGCCUCAGGAAAAUGUCUGACCUUGGAUUCUUAAAUUCUUUCUGGCUGUGCUGUGACUGCUCACUAUACCUUACAGGACCACUCCAAGACUCAACUUGUAAAUGUUCUAGUUCGAAUUCUGCUCCUUAGAAGCAGAGGAGUUUGGAGAGUUCAUGAAUGUUUCAUUAUAAUGCCUUGACCUUUAUUGUGGUCAAAUUUGUGCUACCAAUAAGGACUCCAUUUUCAGGAUUAAGUAGGUUUUCAUUACAUGGCAUCGUUACUCUAUAGGGCCUGCGAUCUUUUGUAUUCCAUACCACAUUAUAAAUAAUUCUAAUGCUACCUUUGGGCAAGGUCCCCACGGAUUUUUUUUCUGAAAAAAACUUUGAUGAUUUUACAUCCUGCGGCAUCCACAGGUGUGUCAUUUUGUGAUGAUUGUUGCUUUCUUUGUGGCUUCACUGUUAGUAUGUGAUUAAGUGGAUUUUCAAGCUCUUAGUAGAGUUUAUUGAGAGAAUAUUUUUUUAACAAACAAUAAAUUUUGUUCAUGGAUGAGAAAUGUCAUUUGAAUUUUCUGUCUCUGUAAGUAUAAAUUCAUUGUCACUAAGGGGCAGAGGAUCUCUUCAAGGUGCAGGGUAUUAUGGGAAGCCCUUCACAUUGUGCUCCUGACCACUGUGUAGCACAGCCUUCCUCCUUAUCCCCACACUUCCACCAGAGCUGCUGUCUCUGAGGAUUCUAGGCUUGUGCUCUUACUCUGGACAUCUUCACUAGAAAAGUGACUUAAUGCUUGGAGGAGCCUGUGUUUGGCCUAGGUUCUUUGUUCUGUUAGUGGUCAUCGUUUGAAGUCAGUAAAUAUGUGCUUGCUGAUAAUAAUUCCUUAGAGCUCGUGAUCCAUCAAGUCUCUCUGUGAGUCCUGUUUUGUGACAAGUCUUAAGUGCUGGGGUCAGCCUUUGUCUGGCAAUGUCCUCUUUAGCAUAGGCUGAGUAGGAGGAGUGGAAAGUAUAAACACACUGGUUCACCUCUUUAGAAGCAGAGGGAAUUUGGGAGAUUUCACUUGUCUUUUUUCCCUGCAUCUAUUGUGUUCAAAUAUUCAUUGACAAAUCAAUCCCUUACAUAGGAUUAAAUGGUUCCACGUAUUUUGUUGUUUUAAAGCAUAUUGGAUACCCUGUAUUUUGCACUGCAUUUAAAAUAUUUAUAAUUCCAGGUCUGGUUCCUUCCAGAUAUUUUCUGUGGAUCUUCUUCAUAUGUCUUCAGCUUGGUGUAGAUACAGGUGUGCCAGAACUUCUUGUAUUAUGAACCUCUUCUGGCAUCCUCUGCAAUUUAUUGAUUAUGUAGAUAUUCAAUCUCUUGCAAUACGUGAUGAGGGGUUUAAGUUUCAUGAAGGUAUCUACCAUUUAGUCAUUCAAUUCUGUCUCACUGAAUGGGACACUAAUAGACCUCAAGCUUGUGUGCUUGUAAGCACCUCAGGGACACAAUAUUCUGUUCUACACAAACUGGUUCUAACACAGGAAGUUCCAAGAGGUUAUGACUCAUUGGACAAUAUUCUCACUUUUGAGGGGAGGGCUGUGUGCUCGUGUUCUUCCUGUAGGCAUCUUCCCUGAAAAGGACCCAAUAUCUCUGUGAAGGAGAAUGUGCUUUUUUCUAGGUUCUUUGAGCUCUGAGUGAUCACAUAAUGUUUUUUUUUCAUGAUUGAAAUUUGUGAAGAGGAAAACUCUGAAAAGCAUGCCUCAUGGGAGUGAAUCCUUAAAGUUGAUGCUGCUCUCAGUUUCUUAGGAACUCUUAUCCCUGAGGUGAGGAUAGUGUUUAAGCUGUAGGGUAGCAUUUGUUUGUGAAGUUGUUCUUCAGGGAAGAUAAAGUAGAAGGCACACUCUGCCCUCAUGUAUUUCCUUUCAUGUGUGAUGCUUGACAAGUGUGGAUGGAGUGAAAGUAUGAAGGAGAGAGGGCACUGGUAUCCUCCUCAGAAGCAGAGGGAGACUGAGAUUUUUUCUGCAUGUCAUAGUACAAUUUUACAGUUUACUUUGGUCACAUUGACACAUGUAAUCAAUUUUUUUAAUGAGAUAUUUUCUAUAACAUGGUUGAACUUUGCUUUAAAAUUUUUUCUGACUUCCUUUAUGCAGUAUCCCAUUAAAUAAUUUCUAUUUCUGGGUAGGGGGUCUUUGUUCCUUUUGAAUUUCUUCUGAGGAAAUUCUUAUUGUGUCUUCAUCAUGGACAUUCAUUGAUGAGUGGAUGUACCAAAACUGCCAGAAUCACAAGAACUGUAUGUGAUUUUUAUCUUCAGUUAUUAGGAAGCCUUAAGCUCUUGGGAGAGGUGAUCAGGCAUAGAAGUUUGUAUUCAGUAAACAUGACCUUUUGAUUUUGAAUUCUCUUUCUGAUAGGCUAGAUGUCCUUUACUGAAUAGUAUAGUAUCAAUACAGCGCCCAACAUGUGAAGGGAAGCCCUUCAGACUAUGUGUGCCCCAACACCUUGGGAGAAUGGUAUCCACUGCUACUAUGAAGCUUGUGACCUUUUUAUUUCCAGAGGAGAGUCUUUUUUCCCAAGCCAAUAUCACUGACUUUAAUGAGCCCUUUCUAAUCUACUGAGAUGUUUUCAUGGUCACUAUGUCACUGGGCAAUAUGGUGGCUAUGCAAAGCUAUGGAAGCCAAAGUAAUUUCUGUAAAGAAAGGAUGGGUCUUUUCCUCUAGAUAUGAACCUGCAGUGAUCUAUUUCAGCAGAGUUCCCUAUGCUGCAUAUUACACAACCAGGGAGGAUUUUGUCCUUGUCUCCAUGGCCACAGGAGUUGUGUGAUGUGAGGAUGAUGCAAUGCUUUCAGGAGCUCAAGCUGAGAGUUAAUCAAGGCACCUGGACAUGUGUCACUUUUCAGAAUAUUGAUGGCCACCAAGUAGUCAGUGAAAGGAUGGAAACACAAAGUGCCCUGAAUCUAGGGUGCCUUUUUGUUAAAAUGUACUCUUUAGAGGAACUGGCCUUGAGUUCCCAUAUCAGCAUCAGAGUUUGCUUUUGUGAAAUGACACGAAAAGUAGCAACAGCAAAUAUUGAUGUUAGGGAAUUGGUAUCUACACAGAAUAAGUCAUUUCUUGGAAUGUUCAUAGAUAUAAAUCCUAACAUUAACAGUUAGACACACUUAAAUUACCUGUUAAAAUAAAGUUGAAGUGCUUAGGAAUAGAAGAACAAAUCAAGGACAAACAGUGGUAAGAAUGAAGAAGGAUCAUAGCAGGAAAUCAAGAAAGGGAAAGCGAAGGGGAAAACAGGCCAAUUAUAGCACAACAACUUGUCACUUUAGCCAAGGUGUCCAUUAACUAGAAUAGACACUGAUUUCAAUCAUUUCUAAGAAAUGAUGAUGUUGCAUCAGAUGUCACUGAAUCUAGGGAAAUCCUUGGACAAAGAUUUUAUAGUUGAGACUCUUCUCAGUUUGAAAAAACUAAGUUUAUAGGCACAUUGGAUCUACUGAAAUUGAACCAAGAUGAUAGAAAAUGCUUAUGCAGAUAAAUACAAGGGAGAAUACCUCUAAUAGCAAAACCAAAACAUGUAUCCUCAGAAAAGAUAUCCAAGGCUAAAUGCAAUCACCAUGAAUUCUCCCCAAGGCUUAAAGAGCAAUGAUAACAUUUGAUUCUCAGUCUACUCCCUUUAGUAGAAGGGAAUGAUGGCAUCCACAUACCCUCCAAGAAGCCCUUAAUAUGCAAAUUUCAAAGAUGAAUAAAGACAAAAUAGGAAGCAAAAUUAUAAUAGAAAUGUCUUAAAGAAUAUACGUGGGAAAGCGAAUCCUCAAUAAAUGACUAAGGAUGUCAGUCAGUCACCAAAGUCUCUUUUUUUUUGUCACCUUUAUUAACUUGGAUAUUUCUUUUUUUAUUUAAAAAUUAUGUGUCCACCUGUCCUAGUUCAUGUGCACCAUGAGUGUGCAUGUCAACUGAGUCCAAAGAGCCUCAGAUCCUCUGAUACUAGAGUAACAGGCAGCAUUAACUGCCUGAUACAGGUUCUGAGACUACUGUAAGAGCAGUAAAUUAAUUGUGACCAUUAUGUUUUCUCUUCAUCCUCUAUACCCUGUAGCUUUAAUGCAUGCAUUUAUUAUUUCUAACUGCAUGCAUACUUUGCACAUGUGUGCCUGUGUCUCUGUGAAUUUUCAUGAACAGUGUACAUAUUUUUUAUGUAUGUAAUCAUGUUAUCAGCAGAAAGAGCUAUACUGACUUUCUUUAAUGUGUAUGGGUUUUCUUUCUUUUUCUUCCUACUUGCUUUGGCUAAGGCUUCCAGUCCCAUACUGAACUGAUGUGGCCAGAGUGGAGCCUCAUCUUUAAGGGCAUGCUGAGGGAGUGGGCUUUUCACUUCCCCCACUAAUUAUUGCAUGGGCUGUAGGCUUUUCACAUAUGGCCUUUAUUAUGUUGAAAUAAGUUUUUAUUUAUUUAUUUUUUAUCUUUAUUAACUUGAGUAUUUCUUAUUUACAUUUAGACUGUUAUUCCCCUUCCUGGUUUCUGGGCCAACAUCCUCCUAACCCCUCCCCCUCCCCUUCUCUAUGGGUGUUCCCUCCCCUUCCUCCCCCCAUUACCGCCCUCCACCUAAAAAUCACGUUUACUGGGGGGGUUCAGUCCCGGCAGGACCAAGGGCUUCCCCUUCCACUGGUGCUCUUACCAGGCUAUUCAUUGCUACCUAUGAGAUUGGAGCCCAGGGUCAGUCCAUGUAUAGUCUUUGGGUAGUGGCUUAGUCCCUGGAAGCUCUGGUUGCUUGGCGUUGUUGUUCAUAUGGUGGUAUAGUGGUGAGCAUAGCUGCCUUCCAAAGUCACUUCUAGUCAAGCAUGAGCCCCAAGUUCAGGUCCCCAGCAAAUGUAUACAAAGUCAGGUGUGAUGGAUAUACCACACUGCCUAUCAGGCAGACCCUUGAGGUUAAAAUUUAGCCACAAUGUUUUCUUCAUUAUCAAAUAUUUAUUAAUUACAUGAUCAUGCCUUUGUGUGUUCUCAAGAUUGAAUCAUCUCCAGAUUUUGGUACCCAAUUAAAACAAUAUUUUUGGCAUUAGAGUUGUCUCAAUCUCUCUCUUGAGACUUUUUCUGAACCCCUUAUUGGUGUUUCUUCAUUAUAGCACAGCCAUUGGUAUGCCAUUAUUUCUUUGAUGUUUGGUCUCUUUGUGGCAUCUGACUCAAUAUCAUUAUUUAGAACUUUCAGUUUUGACAGAGGUGAUCAGGGAUAAAUGCAUUUCUGGACAAAAGUAGCCAUUUAAUUGUUGAGUGCUCCAUCUCUUUCAAUGGGAGCAGCUCAGUCAUUAAAUGGCAGGUUCACACAAAGCCUCAGGAUGUCAUUGGGAAGCCUUUCAUUCUUUCUGCUUCUGAAACCUUCUAGGGUACAAUAUUCAUUCUUAGGCACUCCAUGCUCCUGUUGCCAUAGAAAUCUUGGGAGUCUGAUCUCUGGAAGAUGGCCUAUUGACAUCUGCGACUUCUAUGCUUGGGAUGUCACCCUGAGAAUCUUUGUUGCAAAAAUACAAUUCAUAUAUUUUAGGAUAAUAUUAUUGCGUCUGAAUCUGAGAGCUUUUAGGGCUCACAUCUUGGAUUUGUUCAUAUUUGAAUUUUGUGAAGAUGUGCUUUUUGAUAAUUAAUCUUUGUAAUCCAUUAUUGUCUUACCCUUUCUUCAAGUUGUGUUCCUGAGGUGAAACAUGUGUCCAUGAUGUGAGUUAGGUUUUAUAUUGGAUGGUACUUUUAGAGAGUGACACAAUUUGAGAGGCAGUUCAGAAGUUAUUUUUCUACCAUGCACCAAAAUAUGGUCUAAUUUCCACUGGUGCUGGGUGAAUUUCUCAUUCAUGAUCAAAUACGUUGCCAUUACAUGGUCUUGAGCCAUGUUUUGUAUUCUGUUUUUGGUAUUUCAUGAAAAAAUUUUUUAAUGAGUUGGGCUUUUAUUCCCUUGAUAUUCCUUGUGAGAACUUUGGUGAUGUGUCUUCUUCAUGGCUGAGCCAUGGGGAUGCCUAGACCUGAAUAUCUGUGGGCCUCUUUGUGUCAUAUAAAGUCAAUAAUUGAUUAAAUAGAAUUUAUCUCUGGAGAGAGGUUAUCAAGGAGACAAAAUUCAGGAAAAUUUCUGCCACUUGAUCUUAGGAUUCUCUGACAUUCUGAAUGGGAUGUGCCUCAGCACAGAAAUCUAGAGGACCUUUCAAAUGUUCCACAGGUCAAUGGAAAGCCUUUGAUGCUAUGUGUUACUGAACCAGGGGUAACUCACUGUAAGACACACCCUGGCACAGCCAUCACAGGUGGUCCUGAGUCUGAUUCCUUGCAGGAUGGGGUGAUGAGACGUCCAUGCUUGUGCACUCACAAGAAAAGCCUUUCUCACUAGAAAAGAUACUGUGCAUCCUAGGAGGAUCACUUUGUGUCUAGGUUCUGAGCACUAUCAGUGACGACAUCUUGGAUUUGUUCCUACUAGACGUUUGUGAAAAUGUGCUUGGUGAGAAUAAAACCUUGGAACCCAUGAUGAUCUCAGUCACCGUGCAAUUUGUGUUCCUGAGUUUUAGAAUAUGUCCACGCUCCUGCCGGUGAUGGUGGGAAUGUUUCAUAUUGGAAACUCCUGUUCAAAUAAGACAGGAAGCACAGUGACCCUGGUUACGCUAUUUAAAGACAGAGGAGUAUUGCGAGGUUGUACCUGUACUCUAGAGCAGCCAAAUUUGUCCUGCCAGAUGGACUUGUGACUCAUGAUUAAGUAUGUUGAAUUGCAUGGUGGUAAAUGUGUUACUUGCAUGCUUUGAUAUCCGGUAUUCAAUAAGCCAUUGACAGUAUUUCCAAUAAUGGGUAGUGAUGUUUCUUGGAGAAUUACUCUGACAAAAAUCUUGAUGUCUCUUGGUCAAGGCUCAGCUAGAGGUGUGCCAUGACUUUAUUGAAUUUGGGCAUCACUUUGACAUCCACUGUCAUUAAAUGUUUAAGCAUAUCUUUGUGCUAGCAGGAGAGGUGAUCUGGGAUACAAGUUUCAGCAUAUUAUCUGUCUUUAGAUUUGCUCAGAAAAGGCAGGUUGGAAGAAGAAUUCUGUCCCUCUUAGAGCCUUUUCCUCUCAUGUCCAGGCAGCUCAGGUAGACUGGGCAACAAGAAGGGAGAAAGGAAAGGGGAGUGGUUCUCCUCCUUAGAAUUAGAAGAAGGUGGUGAGGUUGUGAAUGUGACAUUGUACUACUCUGUCCUUUAUUGUGCUCAAAUUUGCUCUAUCAAGAGGAUUUUAUUUACAGAAUUAAGUUAAGUUGUCAUUACCUGUUUGUGGUUUUGGCAUUUCACAAUGUGUUUGACAUCCUGUAUUAUCAAGCCUAUUGAAAUGUUUCUGAUGCUACCUUUGGUAGGGUCCAUCUGGAUUUCUUGUGCAGAAACCUUUGAUGAGUCUACAUCAGGAGACAUCCACAGUUGUACUAUGCUUUGAUGAUUGUUGAGCUAAAAUGUUGUGAAGGUCUUGGAAGAAAGGAUGAGUUGCUCACACAAAGAACAAAUUCUAUAUUCUUAUUUGAACUUUCUGUCUCCCUUAAAUAAGAAAACUUAUCCCUCAAAAGCAGAGGACCACUCCAAGGCUGCAGAUAUCAGUGAGAAGCCCUUCAGAUUGUGUGAUACUGUGUAUGUGUGGCACAAAGUAUUCUGUCUGAUUCACCCCCUUGAACUGGCACCAGAGGUGCUCCUGAGCAUCUCUUUCUCUUCAGGAUGGGCUGUUGUCUUUUGUGGAUUCUAUGCUUGUGCCCUUACUCCAAUACAUCAAGGAAACCAUGAUUGUGCUUGGGUUCUUAGUGCUAUCAGUGGUAAUAGCAUAGGUGGAAAUAUUUGAUUACCGGCUGGUUGAUAAAAAUUACUCCAAGCUUGUGCUCCACUCAGUCUCUCUGCAAGUCCUAUUUUUGAGAUGAGUCAUAAAUCAUUGAUGGGGCCAGAUCUCUUUUAGGACUACCCUUUUCAGUGUACAUGAGGUAAUAGGCACCCUCUAUCUCAUACAGGCUUUUUCUUGUCUCCUAACUGCUCAAGCAGAGGGUCCCUAGAUAUUAUGGCAACUGGAGAAACACUGGUUAACCUCUGUACAGACCAAGAAAGGUUGAGAGGUUUUACAGGUGUCUUUGUUCCCUCCCCACAGUGUGUUAAAAUUUUCAAUGGCAGAUGAAAUUCUUAUUAUUGUUAAAUAUGUUGCCAUGCAUUUUUCUUGUUUUGAAGCAUAUUUGAUACCCUGUAUCUCAUACUAAUGCCAUGUAAAUUAUAUGUCAUUCAGAUUUGUAAUCUGGUUCCCUCUGGAUUUCUAGUAAGGGUUUUUUGUCUUCAGCUUGGUGCAUCUACAUCUGUGCUAGGCCUUCCAUUAUUGUGGUGCUCUUUUUGAUAUUCUCUAUCAUGAAUUAAGUAUAUCACCAGUGUCUAUUUGGUGAAGUGAUGAUAGGUGAAAUGGGAGUACAAGAUUUCAGGAUGAAAUCUUCCAUUUAUUCUUUGAAUUUUCUUUGACUGUGAAUGGGGAUAAGGAGUUCGUAUAGAACAGCACUCCAAGGUUCCAGAUCUCAGUGGGAAGUGCUUCCAAAUGUUAACUCCACAGCUUUUCUGGGGUGCAAUAUUCAGUCUAAUACAAACCCUGGUUCUAACCCUGGAAUGGCUCCAGAGGGUGUGUUUCUUGGAGCAUGGUCUGCUAACUUUGGAGUCUUUUAUGCUUGUGCUCUUACUCUUGGUUAUUUCCCUGGAAAAUAAAGUGAUCCUUCUACAAAGGGGGAUGUGCUUGUGUCUAGGUUCUUAGCUAUGAGUGGACACAUCUUGGGUUUUGUCCAUAUCUGAUGUUUGUGAAGAUGAAUACUUUGCAAAUGUGCUCAUAUCAGUGAAUCCUUGGAGCUGGUGCUGCUGUUCUCUGUCUCUCAGGAUCUCCUGUUCCUCAGGCUAGACUAAUGUCCAUCCUAUGGGAAGCUUCUGCCUUAGACAUUCUUUUUAAAGUAUGAAAGAUUGGAAGGCACAGUGUUUCCUCAUGCCAUUUUCUCUCAUCUCCAGGCAGCUCUGGAAGAGUUGGUGAAAAGAAGAUUUGAAAGGAAAGACACUGUUUCCCUGCAGAGGCAACAGGAAGUAGUGAGAUUUUUUUGUGUGUAAUUGUACAGCUCUGGCCUUUCUUGUAGUUACUUUUACACUGCCAGGUAAACUUCUACUCUUUAAUUAAUUGUUUGCCGUUAAACAGUCAUAUCUUUUUUGCUUAAAAGCAUCUGUGAAUUUUUAGGUUCAGUAAACCACUAAAAAAAUUCUACUGCUUGUUUGGGAUCAGGGUUCUCUAGGUAUUAUGUCUGAGGAAAUCUUUGUUGUGUCUCUAUCAUAUCCAAGCAAUGGGUGGAUAAUAAGGCCAAGAAUUAUAUGACUUUAUAGGAUUCUAUGUACAGUUAAAGACAUCAUUAUGUCUUUAAGUUCUUCGAAGAGGUGAUCUGACAUGCAAGUUGGCUUCCAUUAAUAAUCUGGCUUUUGAUCUUUGAAUUUUCUGCCUCUAUGAAUGGUUGUUGCCCAGUCUCUAAAAAGUGGAGGAUCAAAACAAGUUCUGCAUUGUCAGAGGGAAGCCCCCCUUUGCUCUUGAACAUCUCAGGAGAAAAGUAUUCAGAGGUUCCAUUGAUACUCUUGACCUUUUCCUCAGAGGUGACUCUUUUCCCCACACUGAAAUAACUAAGUUUAAUGCCCCCCUUCUAAGCUACUGAGAUGUUUUGAUGCUUAAUAACUCACCUGGAAAAAUGGUGGAUAUGUAAAGGUUAGAUAGCCAUACAGAGUUGACUAAAUAUCAUAUGUAGUGCCUCCCCCUCCUCCUCCAGACACCCACAUUUAAGAACAGGUUUCAGAAGGAUUAACUUUACUUCAUGUUCCACAACCAGGUAGGAUUUCCUCCUGGUCUCCAUGACAUGUAGCAGUUGUUUGAUGUGAGAAUGAUGUAAUGAUUUCAGGAGCUCAGUAUCAGAGCUAAUCAGGGAGUCUGUACACUUGCCUCCUCUUAGUAUUUGGAUGAGUACUAAGGUCUCAGUCCUAAGAUGGAAAGACAAAUAUCCUCUAAACAAUUAUGCAGUUGUCAUAAUUUUUUGUGAUAUGUUUUUUGGAAAGGAACUGGCCUUGGGGUUCACUGACAUUUUUACAGUUUGCUUCUGUUGGUAGAAGUGAUCAAUUAUAUUACCAAAUGAAGAUGUAGAUAAUUUAUAUCUUUCUAGAAUGAAUCAAUUCUAUGAAUGAUUAUAUUUAUAAAUUUAUUAAACAUCAGUCAUAUCUAAGAGAACUGUAGUGCUGGGGAAAUGUUAGUGAAUUGUGAUCACCAACCCACUGCCCCCCCCCAAGAAAGCACACAGAGAAGCUCAUUGGAUACAACAAUAAGCAGGAUCUCUGUUCUAUUUGCCUUACUUCUUGCCCCCCAGCUCACCACUGACUCUCAGGAAGGUUUUCAGUAGAGACAGUAGCCCUGAAUUAUCUAUUGGGGUAAGGCUUUAUAAUACGCAGCAAGAAGGGGGUGAGUGUGAAAUCAUCUAAUUGGAUCUAAUUGGAAAACUACCUUGGCCUUUAACGUAAUUGAUUGGUAAUGGGAGUCAUAUUAUAAACUUAAUUUCUGCUUCCCUAUGCAUGUUAAUAGGCAGGAGUUGGGCUUGUAAGGUGCAAGUGCAGAUUUGGUAGAGGAAUAACUUGGAACACAGCUCUAGUUAGAGGUGUAACCAGGAAAUGCAGGUCUUUCCUGGUUUAGCCUAGAGAUCAGAGCUAGACUCAAGUUUUGUUGGAACUUUACCUAAGUUCAAACUCAGGUAACAUUGUCUAAAAUAGAGUCUGAAUUUAUUUGGCCUCUCAUCCCUCCCUUUCCCUUACGACUAGAAGGCCCAAUCAUGGACUUCCUGAGGCUUUAUGGAAAAGUUAAUAACAUGGCUAUGUCUUUGCGGUGUCCCUGGAGAAUGGGUAGGGAUCCACCAUUGGGAGACAGGAAGAAGUUCUGAGGCAGAUUUCUCCUCCUGCUUACCAGGGUGUUGUUCUACUGGAAUGGAACAUGCACCCACACUGUAACUCUGUAGCACAGGAACCACUUCAAGGGGGCUCUAGCGACCCCUGGCAGUGUCUGUUGACUAGGGCCCUAUUUCCUGGCCAAAGUUGGUAGAGCUUCAGAGCUGGACCUGUUUUAUGAAAAGCAGGAAGUUUAGACUAAACGUGUACUAGUGAACACUAUCAAAUUCAUAUAGUAAUUCACAAUAGUCUAUAAUAGUCUGUUUCUGUAAUAAGUUCUGUCAGUAGGUGAACCAAACAUAACUUUCCAAGGGGUGAGUGCCAUCUGGUAUGGGGAAUUCUGUACUCUAUAAAGGAUUAAGGGGAGAAGAGUCACCCAGCCACAUGCAGUCUUUGAAGUUAAUUUAGUUAAUCAUUUUUGAGGGUUCUUUUUAUCUUCUGAAUUUACCCUGAACUCUGGAGCCUAUAAGCACAAUGAAGAUUCCACUCAAUCUCCAGAAUAUCAGCUAAUCUCUGACUUAACUGGGAUAUAACUAUAGGUCCAUUGUCAAAGCCUAUAAGCUUAGAAAACCCAUACCUUGUAAGAAUUUUAGUAUUUUCUUUGGUACCAUCUGCACAGUGUCCAGUUUAUGUGGGAAAGUCUCAGUCCGUCCUGAAAAGGUAUCUAUAAAUACAGCAGAUAUUUGCAUAUUAAUUUUCCUGAUGUUUUCUCUAUGAGUCCAUUUCCUGAUAUAUUCCCAGCUUAGUGCUUCAGUAUUGAACACAGUGUUGACUUUUAGUAGCAUAUGUAUUGGUCACUCGACAGACUUCAUAGUUUUUUUUUCUUUUAUUGGACAAUUAUUUACAUUUCAAAUGUUGUUCCCUUUCUCAAUUUCCCAGUCAUAAGCCCCCUAUCCCACCCCCUCCUUUUCUUCUACAAGGGUAUUCCCUUCCCCAUUUACCACACUUCCUCCUCAACAUUCCCAUACACUGGGUUUCCAAUCUUGGCAGGAUUAAGGGCUGCUCCUUCCUUGUUGCCCAAUAAGGCCAUCCUCUGCUAUGUAUGCAGCUGGAGCCAUGGGUAAGUUCAUGUAUAUUCUUUGGAUAGUGGUUUAGUCCCUGGAAACUCUUGUUGAUUGGCAUUGUUCUUAUGGUGUUGCAAGCCCCUUCAGCUCUUUCAAUUCAUUCUCUUAUUCCUCCAAAGGAGGUCCCAUUCUCAGUUCAGUGGUUUGCCAUUAGCAUUGGCCUCUAUUUGACAUGCUCUGUCUCUGUCUCUCAGGAAAGAUGUGUAUCCACUUCCCGUCAACAUUCACUUCUUAGGUUCAUCAAUGUUAUCUAGUUUUGGUGGCUGUGUGUGUAUGUAUGUAUGUAUAUAUAUAUGCCACAUGUGGGGCAGGCUCUGAAGAGCCGUUCUGUCAGUCUCUGCUCCAAACUUUGCCUCCAUCUCCCCUCCUAUCACUAUCCCCCACUUUUAACAAGGAAUGAAGCAUCUGCACUUUGGUCAUCUUUCUUCUUGAGCUUCAUGUGGUAUGUGUAUUGUAUCUUGUGUAUUUUGAAGUUUUGGGCUAAUAUCCAGUUAUCAGUGAGUGCAUACAGUGUGUUUUUCUGUGAUUGUGUUACCUCACUCAGCAUGAUAUUUUCUAUUCUAUUCUAUUUGCCUAUGAAUUUCAUAAAGUCAUUGUUUUUGAUAGCUGAGUAGUACUCCAUUGUGUAGAUGUACCACAUUUUGUGUAUCCAUUCCUCUGUGUAAGGACAUCUGGGUUCAUUCCAGGUUCUGGAUAUUAUAAAUAAGGCUGAUAUGAACAUAGUGGAGCAUAUGUCUUUCUUGUAUAUUGGAGCAUCUUUUGGGCAUGUAUAUGCCCAGGAGAGAUAUAGCAGGGUCAUCAGGUAGUGUGCAAUAUUCAAUUUUCUGAGGAAAAUUCAGACUGAUUUCUAGAGUGGUCAUACCAGUUUGCAAUCCCACCAACAAUGGAGGAUUGUUCCUCUUUCUCCAAAUCUUGUAAUCAUCUCUUGUACACUGUUUUUAUCUUAGCCAUUCUGACUGGUAUCAGGUGGAAUCUCAGAGUUGGUUUGAUUUGCAUAUUCCUGAUGACUAAGGAUGUUGAGCAUUUCGUUAGGCAUUUCUCAGAUAUUUGAUCUUCCCCAGCUGAGAAUUCUUUGCUUAGCUCUGUGCCCACUUUUAAUAAGGUUAUUUGGUGCUCUGCAGUCUAAUUUCUUGAGUUCUUUGUAUAUUUUCGAUAUUAGCCCUCUAUUGGAUGUAUGAUUGGUAAAGAUCUUUUCCCAAUCCAUUGGUUAUCAUUGUGUCCUAAUGACAGUGUCCUUUGCCUUAGAGAAACUUUGCAGUUUUGUGAAGUACCAUUUGUUGAUUCUUGAUCUUAGGGCAUAAGCCAUUGGUGUUUUGUUCAGGAAAUUUUCCACAAUUCCCAUGUGAUCGACUCUCUUCCCCACUUUUUCUUCUAUUAGUUUGAUUGUAUCUGUUUUGUUGAUGUUUGAUGUGGAGGUCCUUGAUCUACUUGGACUUAAGCUUUGUAGAGGGUAAAAAGAAUGGGGCAACUUGCAUUUUUCUACAUUCUGACCUCCAGUUGAACCAGCACCAUUUGUUGAAAAUGCUCUCUUUUUUUCCCCCAAGUGGAUGGUUUUAGCUUUGUCAAAGAUCAAGUGACCAUAGAUAUGUGGGUUCAUUUCUGGCUUUUCAGUUCUAUUCCACUGAUCUGCCUGUCCGUCUCUGUAUCAAUGCCAUACUGUUUUUGUUACUAUUACUCUGUAAUACUGCUUGAUAUCGGGGAUGGUGAUUCCCCGAGAAGUUCUUUUUGUUGAGGAUAGUCUGUGAUAUCCUAGGUUUUUUUGUUAUUCCAAAUGAACUUGCAGAUUGCUCUUUCCAACUUUAUGAAGAAUUGAGGUGGAAUUUUGGUUGGGAUUGCAUUGGAUCUGUAGAUUGCUUUUGGCAAAAUGGCCAUUUUUACUAUAUUCAUCCUGCCAAUGCAUGAUCAUGUGAGGUCUUUCCAUCUUCUGAAUCUUCUUAAAUUUCAUUUUUCAGAGACUUGAAGUUCUUAUAAUACAGAACUUUCACUUACUUGGUUAGAUUCACAUCAAGUUAUUUUAUAUUAUUUGGGAUUAUUGUGAAGGGUGUCAUUUCCCUAAUUUCUUUUUCAGCAGAUUUAUCCUUUGAGUAGAGGAAGGCUACUGAUCUGUUUGAGAAUUUUUUAUUAGAUAUAUUUGUUUACUUACAUUUCAAAUGUUAUUCUCCUUCCCAGUCUCCUGCCCAUAAGCCCCCAUUCCCUCCCAUAUCCCUCUCCCAUAUGGGUAUUCCCACUAUACAUCCCCCUUACUCACCCCCCAUAUUCCCCUGCACUUGGGUCCAACUUGGGCAGGACCAAGGGCUUCCCCUUCCACUGGUGCCCCAACAAGGCUAUUCUCUGCUACAUAUGCAGUUGGAGCCCUGAGUCAGUUCAUGUAUAGUCUUUCGGUAGUGGUUUUGUCCCUGAAAGCUCUGGUUGGUUGGCAUUGUUGUUUUUAUGGGGUUGUGAGCUUCUUCAACUCUUUCAAUACUUCCUCUAAUUCCCUCCCAGGUAGUCCUGUUCUCAGUUCAGUGGUUUGCUGCUAGCAUUUACCUCUGUAUUGGAAUGCUCUGGAUCUGUCUCUCAGGAAAGAUCUAUAUCUGGUCCCUUUCGGCAUGCAUUUUCUAGCUUCAUCAAUCUUAUUUAGUUUUGGUGGCUGAAUAUAUAUGGGCCACAUGUGGGUGAGGCUCUGAAUGGCUAUUCCUUGAGUCACUGUUCUAAACUUUGCUUCCAUAUCCCUUCCUAUGGAUACUUUUUUUCCGAUUUUAAGAGAGUCGAAUCAUCUGCAUUUUGUUCAUCCUUCUUGUGCUUCUUGUGGUCUGUGGAUUGCAUCCUGGGUAAUCUGAGCUCUUUGGCUAAUAUCCAAUUAUCAAUGAGUGCUUACCAUGUGUGUUUUUCUGUGAUUGGGUUACCUCAUUCAGGAUGAUAUUUUCUGAUCCAUUCUAUUUGCUAUGUAUUUUAUGAGGUCAUUGUUUUUGGUAGCUGAAUAGGACUUCAUUGUGUAGAUUUAUCACAUUUUUUUG